CGCCGUGGUCACGUGGUCACCUGGGGCAGGGGGCCUGGCCUUUGGCGCGGGCGCUGCGGGAGCCUCUGAGCACCUGAUGGAGCACCUGCCGGAAGUCCCGCUCCUCCCUGGCCCCAGGCCCCCACGGAGUUUCUCAGCUUUGUUCAACCCCAGAUUGUGGGUCACUCCUCAAGGGCCUUCUGCUGGCCUUCUUCUGGCUGUGCCCACCGUCACAGAGGAAGAGUCCAUGGGGCCAAGGGAUGCGACUACUUAAAACCUGUGCCAGCCCCGACUUCUAGAUCCUGAGAAUUCCCCAGUAGCCCCAAGCCUACCUCCCUGCAGGCCUCUGAGGGGCCUGUACCCCCCACCCCCCAGCAAAGCGAUCCAUGCCACCAGUGUGUGCGCCCAGGCCAGGAGGCAGUGUGGCUGGAGACACGUGAAAGUGAAAGUCGCUCAGUCGUGUCUGGCUCUUCGCGACCCCAUGGACUAUACAGCGCGUGGAACUCUCCAGGCAAGAAUACUGGAGUGAGUUGCCAUUUCCUCCUCCAGGAGAUCUACCUGACCCAGGGACUGAACUCACAUCUCCUGGAUUGGCAGGUGAUAUGGGUUCGAUCCCUAGUCCGGGAAGAUCAUACAUGCUGCAGAGCAACUAUGAAGCCCGAUCUUCGGAGUCGAAAGGGAAGCCACUGCAAUGAGAAGCCCAAGCACAGUAACUAGAGAGCAGCCCCCACUGGCUACAACUAGAGAAAGUCCAUGCGCAGGAACAAAGACCCACGCAGCCAAAGAAAUAAAUAAAUGAUUUUUUAAAUGAUACAAAUGCCAACACAGCAGAAUCUACUUUAAAAACAAAUAAGUGUUUUGAGUGCGGCCUCUGAUGGGGGAACAUUUAUGAUGUGAGCACAUUUCCUGUCCCAUCUUUCCACCGUAUACCUUCUGAAGUCUUCACCUUGUCUGCCUCCUCCCGUCCCCCCAGCCAUCCACGGGGCAUCUCUCCAGGCCAGCCUCAUGGGGCUGACCUGGGAAGUGGAUGGUGAGGUAUGCAACUGGACAGGAAGGAAACGGGUAAGGACCCCCCACCAGGGCAAAUGAGCCAAUAUAUCUCAUCCAUACGUCAAUUUUCAGCCUGCCUUUAUGCUUAAUGUGUCUCUCGUAAAGUUGAGUGUUAACUUUUUCAUCCUGUCUGCCUUCCAGUUUAGCCUCUGGCCUGUUUACCAUUAAUACAACUAUUGAUACAGUUCUGCUUAAGUCUACCAUCUUGCUGUUUAUUUUCUAUUUGUUCUCUCUGUUCCUCUGUCAUUCUCCUUUUGAUUUAAUGAAGUACUAUUAAUGUUUUCUAGUCUCUCUUCUUCACUGUUUUUUUAAGUACCUUAUUGUAUGUUUCAGUUCUGUGAUUUCCAUUUGGUUCUGUUUUAAACUCUCUGACUGUGUCCUGAAAUUUGCCAUUUCUUUGCCCAUGAUAUGCAUCUUUCCCUAUAGACUGUCUGUUGUAUUUAUCAUAGUAUUUUAAGCUCCUUAUUACCUUAUUUACCUUAUUUUAAGCUCUGGUUUGUGGGUCUGUUUCUACUGAUUGACUUUUCUGUGUUUUUCUUCACCAUCGGUCACAUUUUCCUGAUUCUCCAUUUGUCUGGGAAUCACCGUGUAUCAGACAUUGUGAAUGGUGUGUUGCUGAGACUCUGGAUUCUUUCCCUGUGAAAAAUACUGAGUUGAUUCUAGAAGGCAGUUAAAUUACUGGUGGUUCCUCUUUAAACUGCAGAAACUGUGCUUUACACUUUGUUGGGAUGGAAACUGUUUUUGUUUGCCUUCAGUCCUAAGGUGAACCGUAGUCCUGGGACACAGUCUUUGCCCCUAAACUUAAGAACUUCUGGGGUUUCAAGUGGAAAGUCUGAGGGGUCCACCAGGCCCCUCUAUUGAGCAGAAAUUAGAGUCCAAGCUCACUGUUCCCUGCAGUCAGUGGGCGGCAGUGAAAAUCACUGCUUAGCUCUUUAAACCAUCAGGCAUUGCCUUCCUCUGGGCUUCUGGCAACCUCAUCUGCGCAUGAGCUCUUGAGGGGACUGCUAUGGAUGUGAGGAGCAUUAAUGUACAGUGUUUGGGGGCUCCCUUUCUUUUCAAGAUUUCACCUCUCCAUUCAACAACAGCAAGCAUGCGUUUCUCAAGCUCACAUGGAGCAUUCACUGAGGCAGACCACUUUCUUGGCCAUAAGACACACCUUAACAGAUUUAAAAUGGUAGAAAUUGUACAAUGUCUGCUCUCUGACUACAUGGAAUUACACUGGAGAUCAGUAACAGAAAGAUAAAUUUUCCAGAUAAAUCUGGAAAAUUUCCAGAUUUAUGAAGAUUAAAUAACACACUUGUAAAUAACACAUGUGUCAAAGAAGGACUCUCAAGAGAAAUUCAAAAAUAUUUUUAACUAAAUGAAAAUGAAAACACAACUUAUCAAUAUUGUGGGAUGUGGUAAAAGCAGUGCUUAGAGGAAAAUUUGUAACAUUGAAUAUAUAUAUUAGAAAAGAAGAUCUAAAAUCAAUAACCUUAAGUUUCCGCCUUAGGAAACUAGAAAAAGAAGAACAAAUUAAAACCAAAUUUAGCAGAAAAAUUAGUAAGAAUUAUAGUAGAAGUCAAUGCAAUUGAAAAUAAGAAAUCAGUAGAAAAAGUCAAAGAAACCAGAAGCUGGUUCUUUGAAAAGAUUAAUAAAAUUAAUAAACCUCUAGCUGGGCUAAGAAAAAUGGAAAGAAGAAGCAAAUUACUAAUAUUGGAAAUGAAAACAGGGACAUCACUGAGAUUUCAUGGGCAUUAAACAAUAGUAAAAUGCUGCUAUGAACAACUCUUUGCCCACACAUUUGGUAACCUAGAUGAAAAGGACCAGUUCCUUGAAAGACAUGAUUUGCCAAAACUCGCAUGAGAAGUAAUAGAUAAUCUGAAUAAAACUAUAUUCAUUAUAUUUAAAACUGCAUCCAUAAUUAAUAAUCUUCCAAAACAGAAAGCUCCAGGCCUAAAUGAGUUCACUUGUAAAUUCUACCAAACAUUUAAGAAAGAAAUUACACCAGUUUUCUACAAUCUCUUUCAGAGGAUAGAAUCAGGAUAGAAUCAGAGGAAAGAUUUCCUAAUGGAAAUAUAUUUCCUAUGGGGCCAGCAUUAUCGUAACACCAAAACCAGAGACAUUAUAAGAAAACUACAGACCAAUAACGCUUCUGAACACGGAUGCAAAAAUCCUCCACAAAAUAUUCUUAAAUCAAAUCCAACAAUGUAUAAAAAGAGUUGUACACCAUGACCAAGUGGGAUUUAUCCCAGGUAUGCAAGGCUGGUCAAUAUUCAAGAAUUAGUUAAUGCAAUCCACCACAUCAAGAAGCUAAGAAAGGAAAAUCACACUAUUGUAUCAGUAGAUGCAGAAAAAGCAUUUGCAAAAGCCAACACCCAUUCAUAACAAAAAUCCUUGGCAACUAAAAUUUCACCCCUCCUUUUCCAGCCACCCUGGCCACCAAACUCCAUCCUCCGACUUCUCAGACCUGUAAAUUCUAGCUGCCCCGCCCUGAGCAGACCGAGAAGAGCCCUCCGACGGUUCACACUCAUGGGCAUUUCAUCCAGAGCAGUUCCCCUGCUUUCAAGGGUCAAGUCCCCUCCACUUGUUGCUUCUCAAGUCACUCUCCAGUGUCCUGAAACAAUGGUUUACAUUUUGGGUUGUUACUGGCUCUGUCAUGCCUGACUCUUUGCGACCCCCUGGACUGUAGCCUGCCAGAUUUCUCCAUCCUUGGGAUUUCCCAGGCAAGAAUACUGCAGUGAGUUGCCAUUUCCUUCUCCAGGGGAUCUUCCCAGCCACAGGUCAAACCCAGGUCUCCUGCAUUGCAGGCAGGUUCUUUACCAUCUGAGCCACCAGAGAAGCCCAUUUUACAUUUUAUCUUUGUUCUUGGUGGGAAGAUUAGUCAGCAAGCUCCUGCACCAUUACUAAAACUCAAACACCCCUGGAAUCACUUCUUACCUUCAGUUGUUGAACUGUGUUUGUUUAAGGGUGAAGCCUAGCUGUGGCUGGGCCAUGGGGUGCUAGAGUUAACAUAGGUUCAACAUCAAUUUAUCAGCUAGGAGCUUGGCUCCAUACACAGGCUCCUUCACUUAAGGAGAGUCGAGACACUUCUAGAAACUGCUGCUGAGAAUGUUUGCUUUUCUGGAGGACAAACUGGGAAUACUUCUCGAUGGGCUUGAUGAUAAUACAGCCUUUGACUCAGCUGCAGCCCCACAUGCAGAAAGCACCCAGAAUCCAGAGGGCAGAACUGAGGAAAUGACUCAGUUCUUGAGCUCAUCGGCUGCUUUUAGCUACACUUCAUGCUGACGGUGAAAUUACUCAGCCUCCUGCCCAGCCGGCCGUGGGGCACACGAGGCAGCCUUGGGGAAAUGCAAAACUGGGACGAUGGCGGGAGGGGGGACUUCAGCUCGAUUUAGAUUAACUUCUGAGACUGGGAUGUGGGAUUCUUAAAUCUAAGAGUUGUCUGAACCACAGACCAUUAGAUUCCCUCCUUUCCCGGUGGUUCCUCAGCUUCCGCUGAGAUUCCCUGGCUGCUCUCCCUAAGGACAAAGCUCUGGAGUAGACCUCCCCCAGCACCCACCCACCCGGACCUUCCCCAGUGCCGAGGCUCAUCAGAGGGGUCACAGUCCACACCUGAGAAGCCUUGGGUGGCAUGAGCACCACAGAGGCUGCAGACUGCUGUGUCCACGUCCUCAGCCAGGACAAGGGAGUAGGCGGCAAGGGGGCAAGCCAGGAUGCUAUCAGUGACGUUCAGAGGGAGCCAGGCAGGACUAUAGGGAGAUCCAGAUUUAGGGAAAACCCAUCUCCUUAAAAAGUGGAGAAGCAGCGCUUUCUCCCCCCAAACAUCAUGUGGGCACGUUGGCUCCCUCUGCGGCUGAGAGAAGGAAGCUGCCUGAAGCCUCUCCCCUGCUUUGGGGGUUUGCUGUAGCCUUCACCACUCUUGGCCUCAUAAAAGCACCACCUCCAUCUCUGCCUUUAUCUUCACAAGGCGUUCUCCCUGUGAGAGUGUGUCUGCGUCCAUCCUUCCCCUUCGAUAAGGGCACUGGUCAUGUGGGACCAGGGCCCACCCUAAUGACCUCACUGCAACUUGAUGACCUCUGUAAAGACCCUCUCUCCAAUUUGGAAGGACUGAUGCUGAAGCUGAAACUCCAGUACUUUGGCCACCUGAUGCAAAGAACUGACUCAUUGGAAGAAACCCUGAUGCUGGGAAAGACUGAAAGCAGGAGGAGAAGGGGACAACAGAUGAUGAGAUGGUUGGAUGGCAUCACCAACUCGAUGGACAUGAGUUUGAGCAAGCUCUGGGAGUUGGUAAUGGACAGGGAAGUGUGGCAUGCUGCAGUCCAUGGGGCUGCAAAAAGUCAGACACAACUGAGUGACUGAACUGAACUGAACUCCAAAUAUGGUCACAUUUAGGGGGCUGGAGCUUAGGACUUCAACACGCAGGUUCUGGGGGAACACAAUUCAACUCAUGACACCACGGACAUCAUAAAUACUCUUGAUCAACCCACAUUGUAGAUUCUGUGUAGAUCUGUCUCUGUGAGGAGCA